UACGGAGGGGGCUAGCGUUGUUCGGAAUUACUGGGCGUAAAGCGCACGUAGGCGGCUUUGUAAGUUAGAGGUGAAAGCCCAGGGCUCAACCCUGGAAUUGCCUUUAAGACUGCAUCGCUAGAAUUGUGGAGAGGUAAGUGGAAUUCCGAGUGUAGAGGUGAAAUUCGUAGAUAUUCGGAAGAACACCAGUGGCGAAGGCGACUUACUGGACACAUAUUGACGCUGAGGUGCGAAAGCGUGGGGAGCGAACAUG
rnacentral:rRNA from 1 species